rnacentral:rRNA from 1 species
AUACGUAGGUGGCGAGCGUUGUCCGGAUUUACUGGGAGUAAAGGGCGCGUAGGCGGGCUAUCAAGUCAGAUGUGAAAUACCGGGGCUUAACUCCGGAGCUGCAUUUGAAACUGACAGUCUUGAGUAUCGGAGAGGAAAGCGGAAUUCCUAGUGUAGCGGUGAAAUGCGUAGAUAUUAGGAGGAACACCAGUGGCGAAGGCGGCUUUCUGGACGACAACUGACGCUGAGGCGCGAAAGUGUGGGGAGCAAACAGGAUUAGAUACCCUGGUAGUCCACACCGUAAACGAUGGAUACUAGGUGUAGGAGGUAUCGACCCCUUCUGUGCCGGAGUUAACACAAUAAGUAUUCCGCCUGGGGAGUACGGCCGCAAGGUUGAAACUCAAAGGAAUUGACGGGG